rnacentral:misc_RNA from 1 species
UUUCCGUAGGUGAACCUGCGGAAGGAUCAUUCAUAAUAAGUGUUUUAUGGCACUUUUUUAAAUCCAUAUCCACCUUGUGUGCAAUGUCAGGGUUGAUUUUUCUCUCGAGAGGAUCAACCCCAAACAUCAACUAUAUCUCAACUCUUUGUCUGAAAAAUAUUAUGAAUUAAACAAUUCAAAAUACAACUUUCAACAACGGAUCUCUUGGCUCUC